UUUCCUUAUUCACCACUUCCCAAGAUAAUAGAUGUAAUGCAGUUAGAACUUCAAGAUUGAGUUUUUUCAGCAAUAGAUCAAGGCCGAAUGAAAAAUGAAAAAUCCUGAUGGAAAGUGUGAAUUAGGACUAAUUAUUCUGUAACAUGGAUCUUACUGUAGGAUGGGCCAAGAAAACUUACGACAUAAAUUACGUGGGCUGAAAUUAUGUUUUUUUUUGUGGUCCGUUCACGCUGCUCUUUUAAUUCGUGUUUGUGCUUUUACAUUACGCUGCACGAGGAGGCCUCGCCUGGAUGCUCGUAUUUGCUAUUUCUUCUCUCUUCUUCUUAAAUCUUCUCUGUAAACGGCCACUUCCUGUACCUCUCCAUUCGAAUCUAGGGUUUUGUUUUGCUUCUUCAUUGAUUUAAAUUAAUCUUCUCAAUUUCACCAAUCGUUACACUCUCGGAUCCGAUCCGUCCACUAUUCAUUCCCUCAAUUUUUACUUUCAUUUCAGAAAAAAAAAAUCUCACUAUUUUUUCUGUUUUCAGAAAGCUUCAGAUGGGGCGAGAAUUUUAAUUUCGCUGGAGUGUCUUUUUUUUUUUUUGAUAAACAAUUCUAAGUUCGUUCGGUAGUGAAUUGAUUUUGGAGAGUUUUUUAGGUGAGUGUUAGGAUUAAGGUUAGUCAUGUUCUAUGGUGCAGUGGUAUGGGAUCCAUGGUUAAUUGUUGCCCAAAUAGCCUGCCUUCAAUGUCUUUACUAUCUCACGCUUGGUUCUUUCUUAUCGAUUCUUGUUGGGACUCGCGUGUCUCGCAUGAGUCUUGUCUAUUUCUUUGAUUUCGUUGCUGUCACCACCUCUACCAUCACCGGUUGGCGUGUAAUCAUCUUCUUUCUCCUCAGCUCCAUUGCUGGAGCGGGAUAUAUGCUUCACUUGAUUGAGAGGUCAAAGAAGUGCUUAGAUUUUUCUGCAACUCUUUACAUCUUCCAUCUCUUUAUAUGCAUUAUAUAUGGAGGUUGGCCUUCCUCAAUAACAUGGUGGAUUGUGAAUGGUACUGGACUUGCAGUGAUGGCUUUACUAGGUGAAUAUCUGUGCAUUAGACGUGAACUCCGAGAGAUUCCAAUUACACGAUACCGAUCAAAUGUUUGAUUUACAAGGAAAACUCCAUAGGCAGGAGCAAACUUUGUUUGGGCCCAUACUUUUUGAUCAUCGAAUGGUUUGAAGGAGCUCCUGGAUGAAGCUUGUGAGAUAUGAAAUCCAAACUAUGAUAGGAUGAAUAGUUUUAGCCUACUGAUUCUAUUGACUAUGCUGAAGUUAAUGAUACAAGAUGGCGCAGAAGAUGGAGUAAAUGAUGGGGAGAUGGAGCAUGCGAGACUAGGUAUGCAUUGUGUCAGGAAACUAGUAGUGUACAAUUGUGGAUGGUUUCUGGGGAAGAUGCUUCUUGUUCUUCUGAUAUUAUUUUCUUGUUCAGUGCCUUAUUUUAAUAUGACAUAUAGACGAAUUUGCAUGAACUGCGAAAAUAUUGUUUCUCAUUGUCUUUGGAAUUCUUGUAGGGCUGUUAACUAACAUUGAUUUGUUCAAUCUUUAUAAUAGGUCUGUUUUUUA
rnacentral:misc_RNA from 1 species